UGCCACAGCCAUAUCACCCUGCAGACCGGUUACUCACUGAAGCUAAGCAUUGCUGAGACUGGUCAGUGCCUGGAUGAGAGACCACAUGGGAAAACUAGGUAGCUGUUUGAA
rnacentral:rRNA from 1 species